rnacentral:rRNA from 1 species
UGCGUAGGCGGUUUCUUAAGUCUGUCGUGAAAGCCCUGGGCUCAACCUGGGAAUGGCGAUGGAUACUGGGAGACUAGAGUGUGAUAGAGGAUGGUGGAAUUCCCGGUGUAGCGGUGAAAUGCGUAGAGAUCGGGAGGAACACCAGUGGCGAAGGCGGCCAUCUGGAUCAACACUGACGCUGAGGCACGAAAGCGUGGGGAGCAAACAGGAUUAGAUACCCUGGUAGUCCACGCCCUAAACGAUGCGAACUGGACGUUGGGAGCAACUUGGCUCUCAGUGUCGAAGCUAACGCGUUAAGUUCGCCGCCUGGGGAGUACGGUCGCAAGACUGAA